GAUGAACGCUGGCGGCGUGCCUAAUACAUGCAAGUCGAGCGAACGGACGAGAAGCUUGCUUCUCUGAGGUUAGCGGCGGACGGGUGAGUAACACGUGGAUAACCUACCUAUAAGACUGGGAUAACUUCGGGAAACCGGAGCUAAUACCGGAUAAUAUAUUGAACCGCAUGGUUCAAAAGUGAAAGACGGUCUUGCUGUCACUUAUAGAUGGAUCCGCGCUGCAUUAGCUAGUUGGUAAGGUAACGGCUUACCAAGGCAACGAUGCAUAGCCGACCUGAGAGGGUGAUCGGCCACACUGGAACUGAGACACGGUCCAGACUCCUACGGGAGGCAGCAGUAGGGAAUCUUCCGCAAUGGGCGAAAGCCUGACGGAGCAACGCCGCGUGAGUGAUGAAGGUCUUCGGAUCGUAAAACUCUGUUAUUAGGGAAGAACAUAUGUGUAAGUAACUGUGCACAUCUUGACGGUACCUAAUCAGAAAGCCACGGCUAACUACGUG
rnacentral:rRNA from 1 species